GUGAAAUAAACAGUAUCACGAGUCACUCUCUCUGCCACUGAGGAGGUAAAACCAGCAAGAAAUAAAGGGAUUGGGCUUGACUAAAUAUGACUUACGGACUGGAGCAGUUGGUGGAGCUACUGGCUGAGCCCCAGGGAGAGCCUGCAGCUGAGCUGCCUUCACCGAAUUUGAAACAACAGAAGGAAGGUGAGGAGCUUCUGAUGUAUGCAAGCAGUAAUGAGGAUAAGGGGAUCUGCAUUGUCUGGCUGUGAAUAUUAAGAAAGAAGUUGUCCUGACCAUGGUUUUGUCAAGCAUGGAAGUCCCUCCUUGAGUUUAGAAGAUGCUCGGACUAAGAACCACAGUCAUCCUUAUUUCUCAGUAUGGAGAGAGGCACUUAGGAAGAUGAGCAGCAGUACAACCAGGGCAAGGGAUUUCAGUGAGGCACACAGACAUGGAAGGACACUGCACUCCACAAGACCUCUUUGCUCUGUGCGCUGGGGCAGCACAGUGCCUCAGUGCUAAAACUGGCUGUGGUCUGGGAAGAAAUGCAAGCUGGUCAUAGUGACACAAACAUGGAAUAUUUGGUGCCUUUUUUAAAGAAGUCAGGAACAGAUGUUUCUAGAUGCAGUUUGGGUAUUUCUCAUCUGUGAAUCAGCAAAAAUCAAUCAUCCCGAGGCUAAGAGCUGUCACUCCCUCCUACAGCUCCUGAGUCACUUCACUCCCCCAGAGAUGGAUGCAUGAGCAGCAACCACUUUUUGAACUGCACUAUGUACACUGAUACUCAGCAUUUAAUUCAUAGUGGUUUGUGAUUGCCUGGAUCCUCUCAGGGUCAGCUGCUAGCCUCAUCAGUGCUGAUUUCUGAAAAUAUGUCUUUUGAUAAUCUGUCUUCUUCCUACCUGUUAGACUAUGCUUUUAACUAAUAAUAGAUUCUAGGUUCAUAUAAUUGAAUAAUCAAAGCAUUGCUUGAACUUUUCAGACCUAAAAGAAACCUGCUAUGCUUUUUCAAUAUGACUUUACUAAUGCAAAACUGACUGCUCGACAGAUCAGGUUUUUUUCUCAAAUUGUACAGAAGCAUUGUGCUUCUGGAAUGACACUUCAGCCUGAUUUUGCUAAAUAGGUCAAUAACACCUUGAGAUUAAUUGGUUUAAAGUGCCAGCACAGGCACCCCUAACCUCUCUUUCUUAAAACAGGUGAUCCUACUGUUGCUAAGUUUGCCUUUAAUGCUUCAUAUGCUUCUUUCUUUUGAUGAGCAGUGUUUAUCUAGAAAUGAUUGGAAAUUUGCUACCUGUGUUAGAGUGGUAGUGUUUAAAUAUCAACCACUUGAUUUUA